UACUUUUGGUCAUGUAGUGUAUAUGUGACCAACAAAUAUGAAUGGAGUUUCAGUCAUACCUGAAAGGGUUAGUGGAAGAGUGUUUCAAUCAAGCCUGAACCACCUUUGUGCCAGAACAAUUCCACAGUUGUUGGCCUUCUCUUGAAGGGGUGAAUUGUUAUAAAACUAUACUGUAGGUAAAUGUGUCACCUUGGGAAAUGUUUUCUCUAGGAGUUAGACAGUUAAGGGACAGACUAACUAACUCUGGUGACAUGACAACAACAAAGUAAACAAAGAGGUGAAAGGACAGUACAUGUGUGUGACAGGUUUAUAGAGCCUUAGAGAUGAGACUAAACAAUGCUGUAUAGAGGAUGUAUCAGGAAACCUAUGGAAAUUGUUAUUUUACAUUCUGGUACAUUCUUAGCUCACAGACUUUGAUAUGAAGGGUUGGUGACUAAAGUCCUUUGUGUCUCUAUGAAUUCCAAGAAUGGACAUUGGGGGGCAAGGGCAGUGUCAUGGUGAGAAGGUCAUGAUCAGGCCAGUUGGCUCUUUGGCCAAGGUUAGGAGUGUGGCGCUGCAGGGUUAGGGUGACAGUAUGAUGCAACAUCAUCAGAUAUGUCAUCUUUGUAGGGUGAAAAAGUAGCAUCUCCCAGCCCGAUCCCUAGCUUCCAUCUAAAAUAAUUGCUUUCCCAGCCCUCUUAGUACUUUCUGUAAUUCAUUGACAAUCCCUAACUAGAGCCAGAGAGAGGCUAUCCGAUGUCAAACCAAUUUUGCCACGGUAAAGGGUGAGUGACUAACUGUGUACUGUUCUGUGAAUUUACAAAUACUUGCCAUGUGCAAACACACACGAGACAACCACAUUAAAUACCCCUUUUGUAUAUUCAGUAACGUUGCCUGGGUAAAAUCACUGGGGAAGUCAGAAAAGCCAUAUUACAACCUAUGUGUUGUGAUAAUUGCGUUGUUUGCUCUAUAACCUGUUAGUUCAUAUGCCUGGCGACUGUGAUAUAUAUAGGCCUAAAGGCCGAGACAAUGAGAAGACCGAGGCAGAAUAAAUUCAACCACACCUUUGUUUCAUCACAAAACCGGAGAGCAACCUCUGUCUGAAGUCCACAAAGCAUAUUUCAUGUGACAAAACACUACAGCAUGGUCCAUCAAGUUAAUGUUUUCCGACCACUAAACAACUAUUGAUUUACAACCACGGAGAGUUACCGCAAGUCGCAAAGAAAACAGAAGGAGCUGCCACCACUAUUCCAGCACCAUUUCAACUUCAACAUUUUAACAUCAAAUCACCUAUGAUAAGUCUAAUUGUGACAACAAAAAGAUACCAAAAACAAUUUAGUCCAAUCAACGUAAGCUAAAUAUGAUGUGGCUGUCCAUGGUUCUGAUUUCUGUGUGUGUGCACGUUCGUGCAAGUAGAAAAAACAUGUUGACUCAUUGUUACGGAUACAAGUAUCCUGUGUGUGUAUCCUGUGUGUGUGUCUUUUCUCUCCUUCUCCCCUCACAGGUGAACAUCAUCACUCCCCAAUCAGUCAACAAUCAAUCAUCAAUCAGAAGACACACCUCCUCCUGUUUCCUACCCUAUCACAGUUCCUUUCCCUUGGUUUAAAAACCCCAUCAGUUGUUUGCUCUAGAGCUCAAUCUCUCUGUAAAUGCCAUGUAUGUAGAUCUCUGUGUUUCACUCUCUCUUUGUAGCUCAAUCUCUCUGUAAAUGCCAUGUAUGUAGAUCUCUGUGUUUCACUCUCUCUUUUGUUUGAGCACCUCCAAAUCACUUUGUCAUCUCCUGUGAGUAUUGUUUUUGGUUAUGGUGUUUGUUUGAUUGCUGGUGGGAAAAGGGGAAACCAAGACAAGUCGCCUAUGGGCAUACACUACCCGUAGGUAGACUUUGUUAAAAACACUAGUUAGAACUGGGCGGACCACCC
ensembl:lncRNA